GAUGAACGCUGGCGGCGUGCCUAAUACAUGCAAGUCGAGCGAACGGACGAGAAGCUUGCUUCUCUGAUGUUAGCGGCGGACGGGUGAGUAACACGUGGAUAACCUACCUAUAAGACUGGGAUAACUUCGGGAAACCGGAGCUAAUACCGGAUAAUAUUUUGAACCGCAUGGUUCAAAAGUGAAAGACGGUCUUGCUGUCACUUAUAGAUGGAUCCGCGCUGCAUUAGCUAGUUGGUAAGGUAACGGCUUACCAAGGCAACGAUGCAUAGCCGACCUGAGAGGGUGAUCGGCCACACUGGAACUGAGACACGGUCCAGACUCCUACGGGAGGCAGCAGUAGGGAAUCUUCCGCAAUGGGCGAAAGCCUGACGGAGCAACGCCGCGUGAGUGAUGAAGGUCUUCGGAUCGUAAAACUCUGUUAUUAGGGAAGAACAUAUGUGUAAGUAACUGUGCACAUCUUGACGGUACCUAAUCAGAAAGCCACGGCUAACUACGUGCCAGCAGCCGCGGUAAUACGUAGGUGGCAAGCGUUAUCCGGAAUUAUUGGGCGUAAAGCGCGCGUAGGCGGUUUUUUAAGUCUGAUGUGAAAGCCCACGGCUCAACCGUGGAGGGUCAUUGGAAACUGGAAAACUUGAGUGCAGAAGAGGAAAGUGGAAUUCCAUGUGUAGCGGUGAAAUGCGCAGAGAUAUGGAGGAACACCAGUGGCGAAGGCGACUUUCUGGUCUGUAACUGACGCUGAUGUGCGAAAGCGUGGGGAUCAAACAGGAUUAGAUACCCUGGUAGUCCACGCCGUAAACGAUGAGUGCUAAGUGUUAGGGGGUUUCCGCCCCUUAGUGCUGCAGCUAACGCAUUAAGCACUCCGCCUGGGGAGUACGACCGCAAGGUUGAAACUCAAAGGAAUUGAUGGGGACCCGCACAAGCGGUGGAGCAUGUGGUUUAAUUCGAAGCAACGCGAAGAACCUUACCAAAUCUUGACAUCCUUUGACAACUCUAGAGAUAGAGCUUUCCCCUUCGGGGGACAAAGUGACAGGUGGUGCAUGGUUGUCGUCAGCUCGUGUCGUGAGAUGUUGGGUUAAGUCCCGCAACGAGCGCAACCCUUAAGCUUAGUUGCCAUCAUUAAGUUGGGCACUCUAAGUUGACUGCCGGUGACAAACCGGAGGAAGGUGGGGAUGACGUCAAAUCAUCAUGCCCCUUAUGAUUUGGGCUACACACGUGCUACAAUGGACAAUACAAAGGGCAGCGAAACCGCGAGGUCAAGCAAAUCCCAUAAAGUUGUUCUCAGUUCGGAUUGUAGUCUGCAACUCGACUACAUGAAGCUGGAAUCGCUAGUAAUCGUAGAUCAGCAUGCUACGGUGAAUACGUUCCCGGGUCU
rnacentral:rRNA from 1 species